GUGCCGGUGAGCUGCCGGCGCGCCGGCCCUGUACUCGGGGCAGGUGUCGGGACCUUGCAGCGCCCUUUUGUCCCCAGGAGCAGCCCCACCCGGGUCCCUGUAAGCAGGGCUGGGGAGGCUCCUUUAGCCAGGUGACAGGAAGCAGCGCUCCCGGGCCCUUGCCAGGGGUCAGGUUGAAGAAGUGCUGUGCCGCAGGGCGCGCUCCCGCCUUUGGCGCUGCUUUGGGCCGGUGCCACCUCCCUGGCGGCCUUGUUGAGGAGGCUCCCGGGGCUCCUGCAGGCGGCUGUGCUGCCGUGCUGCGCUGCGGCCGGGCUCCGGCCUGCCCCUAAGUGGGGCGCAGGCCGGAGCCUGUGCUCCGCGGUGCUUGUUGGGGGGUGCCGGGCUGCGGGGGGCGGCCCCGUAAGCGGGGUUGUGUGCGUCCCCUGGCCUCGGCGGGCGGUUGGAGGGACCCCCUGUAAUCAGGCGGGUACCCCUGGCCCCGGUCUUUCAGAGGCGUGGGGCCAGGAGUCAUGGGGCCAGGCGCGUGCCCUCCCUGUCCUCGGGGCCGGGCUCGCGGCCCCUCGGGCGCCUCGGCUUUAGGCCGUGAGCUGGACUGCCUGACUGUAGAGUCUGCUUCCUGUUGCCUUGGGGGAAGGCCGAGCUCGGUGGCUCCCUGCGUGUGCACCGGCCUGUAAGCAGGCUGCGGGUCUGGGGGCCUUUGUGCUCCCUUCAGCUGGCAGCCUGCGUGGGGCGCCCGCCCCGUUAGUGGGGAUGGCGCCGGACUUGGAGAGAAGGAGCCUGCUUAGGCCUUGGGGACCAGAGCCGCCCCGUAAGUCGGGGCCAGUGCUCUGGGGUCCCGGGCACUUUGCAGUCCAGGCAGCGGCUUGAGCUCCCUGUAAGCAGGGGUGCAGCCUCUUGGCCGCUGCUCUGCGUGCCCAGCUUGGUUUGCCCAGAGGGCCCGGCUCCCAGCACGGCGUGGGACUGUGCCGGACGUCGCGAUGGAUCAUUCCGGCCUUUCCAGUCACCGUUUUGAGUUUUCGAAGGAUACCUUUAUGGGCAGAUAACUUUCCUUUCUUUUUGGAUACUCUGUUUGGAAGGGUACCGCACUGUAUGAAGACUUUUUCUUUUUUAAUACAGAAGUACUCUGAUAAUAUUUCAAACCUGGAUCAUUUAAGUGAGAAACAAGGUAAGCCCCAUUCCUUCCAACAAUGCAUUUCUUUGUGCCUAAAUUAAA